AGUGAACGCUGGCGGCGUGCUUAACACAUGCAAGUCGAACGAGAACGGGUUAUAGCUUGCUAUAAUUGUCAGCUAAGUGGCGCACGGGUGAGUAAUGUAUAGGUAAUAUGCCUCUUACUAAGGGAUAACAAAUGGAAACGUUUGCUAAUACCUUAUACUCCUUAUUAACAGAAGUUAAUAAGGGAAAGAUUUAUUGGUAAGAGAUUAGCCUGUAUUGUAUCAGUUAGUUGGUGAGGUAAUGGCUUACCAAGACUAUGACACAUAACUGGUUUGAGAGGAUGAUCAGUCAAACUGGAACUGAGACACGGCCCAGACCCCAACGGGAGGCAGCAGUGGAGAAUAUUGCAAAAGGAACGAAAGUCGGAUGCAGCAACGCCGCGGGGAGAAUGACACAUUUGGGUGAGUAAACUCUUUUUAUAUGAAAAGAUAAUGACGGAAUUAUAUGAAUAAGCACCGGCUAACUCCGUGCCAGCCGCCGCAGUAA
rnacentral:rRNA from 1 species